UACGUAGGGUGCGAGCGUUAAUCGGAAUUACUGGGCGUAAAGCGUGCGCAGGCGGUUGUGUAAGACAGGUGUGGAAUCCCCGGGCUUAACCUGGGAACUGCGCUUGUGACUGCACGACUCGAGUGUGGCAGAGGGGGGUGGAAUUUCACGUGUAGCAGUGAAAUGCGUAGAGAUGUGGAGGAGCACCGAUGGCGAAGGCAGCCCCCUGGGUUAACACUGACGCUCAUGCACGAAAGCGUGGGUAGCAAACAGG
rnacentral:rRNA from 1 species